AUUGAACGCUGGCGGCAGGCUUAACACAUGCAAGUCGAGCGGAGAUGAGGUGCUUGCACCUUAUCUUAGCGGCGGACGGGUGAGUAAUGCUUAGGAAUCUGCCUAUUAGUGGGGGACAACAUUCCGAAAGGAAUGCUAAUACCGCAUACGUCCUACGGGAGAAAGCAGGGGAUCUUCGGACCUUGCGCUAAUAGAUGAGCCUAAGUCGUAUUAGGUAGUUGGUGGGGUAAAGGCCUACCAAGGCGACGAUCUGUAGCGGGUCUGAGAGGAUGAUCCGCCACACUGGGACUGAGACACGGCCCAGACUCCUACGGGAGGCAGCAGUGGGGAAUAUUGGACAAUGGGGGGAACCCUGAUCCAGCCAUGCCGCGUGUGUGAAGAAGGCCUUAUGGUUGUAAAGCACUUUAAGCGAGGAGGAGGCUCUUUUGGUUAAUACCCAAGAUGAGUGGACGUUACUCGCAGAAUAAGCACCGGCUAACUCUGUGCCAGCAGCCGCCGUAAGAC
rnacentral:rRNA from 1 species